GACGAACGCUGGCGGCGCGCCUAACACAUGCAAGUCGAACGAGCGUGCGAGAGCUUGCUUUCUUGAGCGAGUGGCGAACGGGUGAGUAACGCGUGAGGAACCUGCCUCAAAGAGGGGGACAACAGUUGGAAACGACUGCUAAUACCGCAUAAGCCCACGACCCGGCAUCGGGUUGAGGGAAAAGGAGCAAUCCGCUUUGAGAUGGCCUCGCGUCCGAUUAGCUAGUUGGUGAGGUAACGGCCCACCAAGGCGACGAUCGGUAGCCGGACUGAGAGGUUGAACGGCCACAUUGGGACUGAGACACGGCCCAGACUCCUACGGGAGGCAGCAGUGGGGAAUAUUGCACAAUGGGGGAAACCCUGAUGCAGCGACGCCGCGUGGAGGAAGAAGGUCUUCGGAUUGUAAACUCCUGUUGUUGAGGAAGAUAAUGACGGUACUCAACAAGGAAGUGACGGCUAACUACGUG
rnacentral:rRNA from 1 species